UACAGAGGUCCCAAGCGUUGUUCGGAUUCAUUGGGCGUAAAGGGUGCGUAGGUGGCGCCGUAAGUCGGGUGUGAAAUUUCGGAGCUUAACUCCGAAACUGCAUUCGAUACUGCGGUGCUUGAGGACUGGAGAGGAGACUGGAAUUCCUGGUGUAGCGGUGAAAUGCGCAGAUAUCAGGAGGAACACCGGUGGCGAAGGCGCCACUCUGGGCCGAAACUGACGCUGAGGAGCGAAAGCGUGGGUAGCAAACAGG
rnacentral:rRNA from 1 species